rnacentral:rRNA from 1 species
AUUGAACGCUGGCGGCAUGCUUUACACAUGCAAGUCGAACGGCAGCGCGGGCGUCGGCCUGGCGGCGAGUGGCGAACGGGUGAGUAAUACAUCGGAACGUGCCCAGUAGUGGGGGAUAGCUCGGCGAAAGCCGGAUUAAUACCGCAUACGACCUGAGGGUGAAAGCGGGGGAUCUUCGGACCUCGCGCUAUUGGAGCGGCCGAUGGCAGAUUAGCUAGUUGGUGGGGUAAAGGCCUACCAAGGCGACGAUCUGUAGCUGGUCUGAGAGGACGACCAGCCACACUGGGACUGAGACACGGCCCAGACUCCUACGGGAGGCAGCAGUGGGGAAUUUUGGACAAUGGGCGAAAGCCUGAUCCAGCAAUGCCGCGUGUGUGAUGAAGGCCUUCGGGUUGUAAAGCACUUUUGGCGGGAACGAAAAGGACUGUGCCAAUACCACGGUUCGAGGACGGUACCCGCAGAAUAAGCACCGGCUAACUACGU